rnacentral:rRNA from 1 species
UUUUAUCCUGGCUCAGGACGAACGCUGGCGGCGUGCUUAACACAUGCAAGUCAAGGGGGCCCAGCAAUGGGCAACCGGCGAACGGGUGCGUAACACGUGAGCAACCUACCGAACUGUGGGGGAUAGCCGGCCUAACGGCCGAGUAAUACCGCAUACGCUUUCCGAAAGGCAUUUUUUGGAAAGGAAACCUACGGGACAGAUCGAGGGGCUCGCGGCCUAUCAGCUAGUUGGCGAGGUAAUGGCUCACCAAGGCUACGACGGGUAGCUGGUCUGAGAGGAUGGCCAGCCACAUUGGGACUGAGAUACGGCCCAGACUCCUACGGGAGGCAGCAGUGGGGAAUCUUGCGCAAUGGCCUGACGGCUGACGCAGCGACGCCGCGUGUGGGAUGAAGCUCCUCGGAGUGUAAACCACUGUUGCCCGGGACGAAUAGCUCGAUUAAUCGAGCCUGACGGUACCGGGUGAGGAAGCACCGGCUAACUCCGUGCCAACAGCCGCGGUAAUACCGGGGGUGCGAGCGUUGUCCGGAAUCACUGGGCGUAA